rnacentral:rRNA from 1 species
UACGUAGGUGGCAAGCGUUGUCCGGAUUUACUGGGCGUAAAGCGCACGUAGGCGGAUCGAUCAGUCAGGGGUGAAAUCCCAGAGCUCAACUCUGGAACUGCCUUUGAUACUGUCGAUCUGGAGUAUGGAAGAGGUGAGUGGAAUUCCGAGUGUAGAGGUGAAAUUCGUAGAUAUUCGCAAGAACACCAGUGGCGAAGGCGGCUCACUGGCCCGAUACUGACGCUGAGGUGCGAAAGCGUGGGGAGCAAACAGG